CCCUCAUAACAACACCAACACAACAAUCAAGGAGAUACUACUGCAACAACAAACUUCUACUUACGGGAAUACCUCACCUGGAAUAUUGCUGAGUGCGGCGUUAAACAACAAACAAAACAUAACCAAAUUGGAUCCUUGUCGACACGUACUGUUUUUAUUCUUCCUGAUGUUGUUUCAGGUCAAACAGGAUAGAAAUUUACGCUGGCGUGCACAGUUACAAAGUGGCCUUCACGUCGUCAGCGGGUGGACCUUCUGACGUGUUUCUUUUAACGAUGAAUAAUCGAGACCUUUUUAUGAUCAGAUCGACAUCAAGUUCUGUAGUGAAUUCUGUUCAUCGUUGAAGUCAUGACCCGGGCAGCGAUAAUCACAAGGUGGCUCUUUACGAUAGGACUUAUUUCAGUCGGUAUUUCUCAUGUGUAUGGAUUAACACUGACAGCAAAAGAUGAGACGGGGACUAUAGGACCCCACCGUGUGACUGUCAAGUGUGACUAUGUCGUGGAUCCAGGAGAAACACUUUUUUCAAUAACCAUGAGUAGGAAGAUAGCUACAGACCCAGGUUUCACAGACAUUACAGUGUUCAGACCAUGUGCAAGCUCAUCACUCUAUGAUCCAUGUGUUACACAGAAUUUUAGAGAUCGGACAACUCUCAUCUUAUCCAAUGGUUCCACAAGUGUGCGAUUUGAUCGUGUUAAGUGUGGGGAUGAGGCACCUUACAAGUGUAUUGAUGCUUACCAAACAGUUGCUGCCGAGGCUGCUUCAGAAGAAGCUGACAUGAAUCUUCUUUUGCUGGAGAACACAAUACUUUCCACACGAUGAAGUGAAAUCAAGAAGAUUUAAAGAGACACUGUCAGCACAUUAAGUGCUUAGAAAGGCCCUGUACAACACUGCAACAUGGAGCGUGUGUCCUACGUGAAUAUGGAGUCAUCAGGAACGACACCACACAGGGGAAUUGAAUGCUUUGGGACUUACGUACCCUCUCAGGAGGACAAUAAUUUUACAAUACUUCAACCAGUCAGGUUGAGCUCUGACCACAGUAGAGUGGUACUGCGACAUGAGCAGUUUGUCAUUCGCACCGGCAUGCAUGAAACUGACGUCCAGGGAAAAUGUUAGUUUUUAACCCAUAGUAUGUGUAAGUUAAUGUGGUAAUGAUGUAUGGAGUUGUAUGAUUAGAUAUGGAUUUAGAAAAUGAUUAUUCCAUUUACAUCCCAAUUUGGUACACACGCUUUUCAUCGCUUCCACGUUAACAUCGUCGGGGUUAGAAACUUACUUCGAAACGUCAGUGUAUCGUAAAAACAAACUGACAGGUGAUGUCUUUUAGUGGCAUUUAGAAGUUGUACAUCGAUGUCCAAGAUAUUUUUAUGGAUAAAACUUCUUUAUAAUUUCCCUCACGACGUUUCGAGACCAUUUUCGUUUCAUCAGGUGAACUGACAGUUGGGACUAUGACCAAUGAAUGAAUCAACUGAUGAAGGGACCUGGAAUGGUCUCGAAACGUCGUGAGGGACAUUAUAAAGAAGUUUAAUCCAUAAAAAUAUGUUGGACAAAACUGACAGUUUUUCUGAUAUUGGUUGAUAACAGAUGUUGACAUGGACGACCAAGGCCUUUUCACCAGAACGACUAGGUUACAAAACCGUGGUCACAGUUAAAUGGGCGAUGAGCUUCAGAGGUGAUAUAUAUCACAAUAUGUGAAAUUAAUACGCGGGAAAGGGGCCAUAAAGUGUAUCUUCGGAUGCAUACAUUCAUUGAUCUCAUAUCAUCCAACAUUGGUGUAAUAGCCAAGUGCAUCCCUCCGAUUUAACAACUUCGAACUAGUGAGUGAGUUUAGUUUUACGCCGCACUCAGCAAUAUUCCAGCUAUAUGGCGGCCGUCUGUAAAUAAUCGAGUCUGGACCAGACAAUCCAGUGAUCAACAGCAUGAGCCUCGAUCUGCGCA
rnacentral:misc_RNA from 1 species